rnacentral:rRNA from 1 species
CCCUUAGAUGUCCGGGGCCGCACGCGCGCUACACUGAAGGAAUCAGCGUGGCUUUCUCCCUGACCCGAAAGGGUUGGGAAACCCGUUGAAUCUCCUUCGUGAUAGGGAUUGGGGCUUGAAAUUGUUCCCCAUGAACGAGGAAUUCCCAGUAAGCGCGAGUCAUAAGCUCGCGUUGAUUACGUCCCUGCCCUUUGUACACACCGCCCGUCGCUACUACCGUUUGAACGGUUUAGUGAGGGCCUCGGAUUGGUCUCGGCCCGCUCUUUACCGGGCGGCGCCGUUGGUCGAGAAGACGCUCGAACUUGAUCGUUUAGAGGAAGUAAAAGUCGUAACA